GUUGGGUUGCCACCAGUUGCUUCAUCCCUGAGAAACACCAGGCAGGCACCUGGUAAGUCUUUUAUCCCAACCCCAGCCAAAAUAAAUUGUUUUCAAGAGAAACAGACUUGAAAGGAAAUUUUGCAGUUUAUUAAUUAUUUUUCCCUUUUUUUCCCCUUCUUUUUUUGCUCCUGGAUGUCACUUUUUAGAGGGAUAAAUCGCUUUGCACUCAACCAUGUACUGCUGGUGCUAAUUGGGUUGUGGAUUUUGUGUUUGCACCUGCAGACCAAGAACUCUGGCCUCUAAAUCAACCUCUGUUUGAAGUGUAAAUAUUCCUGGCCUCCAAAUUCUGAUACAGCAUUGAGAGCUGAAUGUACGAGUGUGGCUCGAAAUGAUUUUUCCAUUAUGGAAUUAUUUAAGGAAAUUCGAUAAAAUGUGAAUGAGCCAGGCUCGUGCUAAAUGAAAUAUGUAAGCAAGAUGCUAUCAGAGUGUAAGCCUAUGUCACAGUUAUUAAGGAUUAAUCACUGCUAAUUAACUAGAAUGCUUUUUUUCUCUGUCUCAGCACUCUCAGAGGCAUCUCCCCCCACCAUUGAUGAGCUGCCUUCAUCAGCCCAAGAGCUGCUGGAUGAAAUUGCUCCUGAUCAAGUUAAAAUGGAAAACAGAGAGUCAGAAAAAGAAUCUGAGAGAAAUGAGAAGACAAAUCAGAGUUUAUGGACUAAGGAGUCAUUUAAUCUAGCAGAGGAUACAGAAAGAGCUCACUCCAGCCUCGAUGAUGUUUUGGAAAGAAUGUUCCAUGCAGUUCCUGGAGAUGGGGAGAUCCAAGAACAACCUCGGGGACUCACUCUUGGACGAGCACCCCGAGGAUCAGAAACCCCACCCCCAGCAGCAGCUGGCUCCAGCUCCACCCUUCAGGAUAAUUGUUUUGGAUGAGAGCUCUCUCCAUGAUUAAAACACAGAGUGAAUAAGUUCUACACAUCACCUGCUUGCUGCUGCUUGCACAGUGUUUAGUCUGUGAAUUACAGCCCUUUUUGGCUACACAAGUACCUGUAAAGCUCAGAUUUCCUUUAACAGCAGCAGGUACAGAAGAAAAUCUAAUGCUCUAUGCUCUGAUAUGGUUUGUACUGGUUUUAUGCCAUUGUUGCAUGCCCAGGCAGUGUCAGUGUUGCAGAAGUGAACUGUUUUUUACUGUCACAUCCUUAUGAAGCUGGUUUUUAUUCUGCAUGUGCACUUUUUCAGAAGCUAAAGAAUUUCUUGCUCUGUUGCAUUAUGCAGUUUUCACAUUAAAGACAAAAUGAUUGUAGUUCUGUGGGCUGCUGGUGCUGCUCAGGCACUGAAAUGUUUCCAUGCUGGAGUGUUACAGCCCAUGUAGUGUCUGUUUUUCCUUGCUCAUUAAAUUUAACAAGGUAAUUUCUUGUUUUCUCUUUACUUAGUGCUUUUGUGAUCUAGUGUUGAACUGAUUUGACUGAUUAAAGGGAUUAAUUGCUGUGCAAAAAGCUAAUGAGGAAAAGGCAGUGUUCUCCAGAGAUUGCAAGUGCAGCAAUAUGUUCCCUGCCAGCAUCAGACAAGAAUGUGAAAAAAAUGUGCUUGUUAUGAAGAUACCUGAUGUUUAAUUCAACCCCAUUUUUGGUAGGCCUCAUCCAAAAAAACAAACCCAAAAAUCCCUGGAUAUAAUUGAGUUUUGGAUUAGAAUUUUGAUGGGCACAGCAACUUCAUAUUUAACGUUUCUUGUGAUAAAUACUGUUCAGGUGCAGGAGUGAAAGUUGUCCUGUUCCCUAUGUGACAGACACAGGGAUUUGAGCUGGUUUUGUACAUCUGGGUGUGCCAAGUUUUGCAUCUUCAUUCCUGUUUUUGCAAGGAAAUUCUCCAGUUCUGUACCUGUUAAUUUGGUUUUGCAACACUAAUAAAAGUUUCCAAGGUUAUUGUGCUGCCAUGUGGGUUUUUUUCUGGUUUGGGAGGUUCUUUUUUGGGGUUGUUCUGUUGGGUUUUUUACUUGUUUUUAACGCUGCUUCCCAUCAUCAGACCACGAUACAACCAGAUGCUGACAGAGUAUCCAGUUGCAGUAUCCAGGGAGGAUGCUGCAGAGGUGGGGGAGCUUUCUGAGGAUAGAUCAGAGAAAAUAAAAAUCUUUCAUGUGUUUGUCCUGUUGUGGCAGUGAUGGUGCCUCAGGAUAGCAGCAAGGCCUAGAACAGGCCUCGCCCCGGGCUGUGACACAAUUCUGUCC
ensembl:lncRNA